rnacentral:pre_miRNA from 15 species
UCCUCGGCAGAGCUGCUGCUCGGUGCUUUCAGCUUCUUUACAGUGCUGCCUUGUAGCAUUCAGGUCAAGCAGCAUUGUACAGGGCUAUGAAAGAGCUGAGAACCGGCUUCCCUGGGGAAG